rfam:Pseudocercospora musae strain CBS 116634 scaffold665, whole genome shotgun sequence.
GGAGAAAUGGUCUAGUGGUAGGGCACAGGCGCCUCGAAUCGUGAGAGGUGGGCAAUUCAUUAGCCCAUGCUUCAUUCCUUGCUAAUAAGCAUGUCCUGGAUGUGCGUUCGAAUCGCACUUUCUCCA